UAGGCUUUGAGGCGAGUUAGGUUUGCCAAACCAACGAGCCUACGGGCCCUCUGAGGGGGAAAGAAGAAAAAAACCUCCCUUUCUCUUUCUCUCUCUAGAAUCUUUAGAAUCUUUUCCUCAGCUUUCUCUCUCCACUGCAACGACAAUGGCGACAUCAUCGAGAACGAGAUCGAGCGGUCCAGUUCUUCCGGUCACAAGAGCUUUCCAAAGAUCGACAUCUCCCUCAGGUAGAUUUUGCUCUUCGCCAUCUGAUUCAUCGGCGGCGGCGGCGGCAGCAUCGGCUUUCGCUUCAUCGACCUCCAGUUUCUCUUCUGCAUCCACUGGAUUCUUCCACCGAUCCGCUUCUCCGACGCGCGUAAAUCUCUAUGGGUCCACACCGCUGGCUUCAUCCGUACGAUUCUCUAUCGACCGAUCCAUCUCUCCUAGCCGUUCGAUUGCGGUUCCCCGGCGCGAUCAGAUCGUCCGUAAGUCCACUCCUAAGAAGAGGUGUAUGUGCUCUCCGACGACGCAUCCCGGCUCCUUCCGAUGCAGUCUGCACAAGAACUUCAACAAUAGUUCUCACACGAUCUCAUAUUCGUCGAAUCGGUUGAACGCUCGGAGAUCUGCCAUGACGAACUCACUGGUUCGUAUCGGCACCGUCGAAGGAGAUCUGGUUAAGCGAGCAUUAGCCGCACUGAUUCGUCCUUCUUCGCACCAACAGAGGCGAAGAGCUGCCUUUCAACCUCGGCCUAGUCGCCUCUCGAUUAUGUCCAAAGCCGAGGAUCUGUAAACGGUGAUCAGCGUUGGGAUAUGCGUUAUGUUUGCCGUUAACCAGCCCGUCCGUUUCGUUCCCGUUCACCGUAUAUGCGUGACGUAUUUGUAUUCGCCUUAUACGUAUACCGGUUUGCGUUGCUUUUGGUGUAAGGUAUGACGUGUUUUCCUUCAACAUCCAAAAACUUUUUACCUGGGCGAGGUAUGGAAAAUGGAAGAAACCUUUAGUGGACCCCGGGACGUAUAUGAAGGACAAGGACACUUACAAUUAAAUAUGAAAUUAAUGAUUCAAGAAAUUAUAAAAAUUUAAAUUAUGAAAUUAAUGAUUCCAGAAAUUAUAAAAAUUUAAAUCAUGGAAAAAUAUCAUUAAUUUUAUUUAAAAAUUGUUAAAAUCAUGUUGAACGGAGGUUGUGAAAAAUCAUCUCCUUGACGUAUAUGAAGGACAAGGACACUUAGUAAUUAAAUAUGAAAUUAGAAAUUGUUAAAAUCAUGUUGAAUGGAGGUUAUGAAGAAUCAUCUCUUUGACUUCAAGGGGAAUUAAUUAAAUUA